rnacentral:lncRNA from 1 species
CAUACUAGUUAUAAUUAACUAACUAAAUCGGUCAAAAAUUGCAAAUUAAAGUAUUAAAUGUUUUUAUUUUUUUCUAAGCUAAUUAAAAUAAAAAAACAUAUUAUCACUAUUUCUCUAAAAAAACGCGUCGCUUUUGAAAUGGCGAUGAAGCUAAUAACCUCUUAAAAAAACCAUAAAAUAAAAAACAAUAUACAUAACACUAGGAAAUGACAUAUGCCGCUUCUAAAUGUUGAGAAGAUGAAGCUAGUGACCUCUUAACAAGUCAAUGACGGUGUAGAAACGAUGAAAUGAAUCAAUAGCCGGAGAUGAGAGCAAGAACAAGCAACUCCAAAUGAAGAACACAGCAAAAGAGUGAAGAUCGAUGGGCUCGGCCAC